CCCCUAGAUGUCCUGGGCCGCACGCGUGCUACACUGACGCAUACAGCGAGCACUUUCCAGUUCCGAGAGGCUACUGGUAAUCAUCAAUAUGCGUCGUGAUGGGGAUAGAUCUUUGGAAUUCUGGAUCUUGAACGAGGAAUGCCUAGUAAUCGCAGGUCAUUAGCCUGCGAUGAUUAAGUCCCUGCCCUUUGUACACACCGCCCGUCGCUACUACCGAUUUCGAGUGGUCAGGUGAAUCUUUCGGACUGUGGGCGCCCUUGAGGUGUUCGCGGAAAGUCAGGUAAAUCUUAUCACUUAGAGGAAGUAAAAGUCGUAACA
rnacentral:rRNA from 1 species